rnacentral:rRNA from 1 species
CCUACGGGAGGCAGCAGUGGGGAAUAUUGCACAAUGGGCGCAAGCCUGAUGCAGCCAUGCCGCGUGUGUGAAGAAGGCCUUCGGGCUGUAAAGCACUUUCAGCGGGGAGGAAGGCGUUAAGGUUAAUAACCUUGGCGAUUGACGUUACCCGCAGAAGAAGCACCGGCUAACUCCGUGCCAGCAGCCGCGGUAAUACGGAGGGUGCAAGCGUUAAUCGGAAUUACUGGGCGUAAAGCGCACGCAGGCGGUCUGUCAAGUCGGAUGUGAAAUCCCCGGGCUCAACCUGGGAACUGCAUUCGAAACUGGCAGGCUAGAGUCUUGUAGAGGGGGGUAGAAUCCCAGGUGUAGCGGUGAAAUGCGUAGAGAUCUGGAGGAAUACCGGUGGCGAAGGCGGCCCCCUGGACAAAGACUGACGCUCAGGUGCGAAAGCGUGGGGAGCAAACAGGAUUAGAUACCCGUGUAGUC